rnacentral:rRNA from 1 species
AUGAUUGCACAAGUUGUCCCAGUAUUUGCUAUGACUGUUUUCAACAUACCAAAGCAAAAUUUGAAAGGUAUACACGAUGCUAUAGCUAGAUAUUGGUGUGGUGAUGAUCAGGAUAAGAAACAUAUGCGUUGGAUGACAUGGUAGAAAUUGUGCAUACAGAAAUUAAGUGGGGGUAUGGGCUUUCGUGACUUCCAUUGUUUUAAUCUAGCCAUGCUUGUAAAGCAAUGCUCGAGGUUGUUAGAGAGUCUAGAUUCCUUAUGUUCUUCUAUCCUAAGGACAGAGACGGGAAUCUUUUGA